GGAGAAGCCCGGACGUUGACGAAGUCCGAAAGAAGUUCGGAGUAAAGUCGAUCGUGACAGGAGGAAGUCUAGAGGAGAUUUGGAGAGUAGUCGAUCACUGUAGAAAAUUGACUGAUAGUGAAGUCCAAAGAGCAUUUGGCUUAUCAGAGGAGUCCAGAGGGUACGAUAGGAGUUCGUCCGUUGGAAAAAUCUGGAGGAUACUGUGGAAGGUCGACUGCUGGAGGAGUCCGGAUGGUACUGUUGAAGCUCGGACAACCGGGGGAGUUCAAAAAGACACCGCACAAGGUCGGAAGCCGGAAGAGU
rnacentral:lncRNA from 1 species